GUUAACGCUGGCGGCGUGCCUAACACAUGCAAGUCGAGCGAAGUGUACCAGUGUAUCGGGCACUUAGCGGCAGACGGGUGAGUAACACGUAAACUAUUUGCCCUCGAAUGGGAGACAACCUGGCGAAAGCCUGGCUAAUACCCCAUACAAUCCUCUUGGAGCAUUCCGAGGGGAUGAAAGGCCCGCAAGGGUCGUUCGAGGAGAAGUUUGCGGCCUAUCAGCUAGUUGGCGGUGUAACGGACCACCAAGGCUAUGACGGGUAGCCGAUCUAAAAGGAUGACCGGCCACAAGGGCACUGAGACACGGGCCCUACUCCUACGGGAGGCAGCAGUGGGGAAUUUUGGACAAUGGACGAAAGUCUGAUCCAGCGACGCCGCGUGAAGGACGAAGGUUUUCGGAUCGUAAACUUCUUUUGCAGGGGACGAAUAUGCGCAAGCAUUUGACGGUACUCUGCGAAUAAGCCACGGCUAACUACGU
rnacentral:rRNA from 1 species